GAAAGUUUCACUGCAAUUUUAGCUUGGCAAAUUAAACAUAACGAACCAGAAAUCAGACAUGGUUCUUAUGAAAUCAGACUUGUAACAGAUUACAAAAAAUGAAGGGGAACCAAGUAAUUAUUUGCAACUCUGGUCAGUUAAGACCAGUCACUAGUUAUUAUGUGGAUAUAACAGUCUUCCUGUUCCUACAGCUAGCAGUGGUUUCAUAGUCUUUGCUGGAUUUGUUUAGGCAGAAACAAGACUACUUCUGCAGAAAGUAGCACAAUACUACAAAAAGCUAACUUUCUUACAUAUCAUGCCUUAUUUGUAAGGUAAUUUCACAGCUGAAGGUCUGCCAAUGAGUUUGUUAAACAAGCAUCUACUAGUCAGCCAGGUUUGCAAUCUGGUGUUACUUCCAUCUGUUUCAGUUAAGAACCUAUAUUGGAAAGGCUUAUGAAGAUAUUCCAGUUAGAAGUGUUUAUCAUUUAUUACAAAAGGACAGGUACUUUUAAGCAAUGAGUAGUGUUCCUGCUGCUUACCACUCAAGAAUAGUUUAUCACUAGCACACAAUAGCUUCAGGUGAGAAGCAUCAGCUUUAAUAGAUCACAUAUCCAAUCAAUGAUUAAGUUAUCCUAAAUGAAAAGGGGGGGUGGAGGUGGGAAGCAG